UUCGCUUCUCGGCCUUUUGGCUAAGAUUAAGUGUAGUAUCUGUUCUUCUCAGUAUAAUAUCUGAUGCGUACCCUAUAUGGGGACCAUAUUUUAAAUGGGUUUUUGAGAACGGGUGCAAAUUUCAAAGCUUGCUUCCGUCGCCCCAUGGAUUGACCCACUAUGGUAGUAUCUUUCCGGUACAGUGCACAAAAA